GGCCCAUUUAGGCUUCCAUGCCCAUCCUACAAGAACCCCAACAAUAACCGCAAUCCACAAAGGAAUCAUAAACAUGACGAGCUCAAUCACGACAUCUCCAAAAGUGGGUCUCUUCAAAAUCUCUAACAAAAUCGACCACACAGCCAUUUACCCUUUCCCGAAACGAAAUAGCCGCAAACCAAGGAAUAUUCAGCAAUCCAAAUACAACCCAGAUAAAUAAAAGCAAAGAAAACCCAUAAAAAAAAAAAAAAGAAAAACCCUCGAUU
rnacentral:misc_RNA from 1 species